CCCAGGCGGGGGGGAGCAUUGUGGAUUAAAUUUGAUGCCAACGCGAAAGAACCUUUCCUUUCUCUUGACAUCCAGAGGAACUUUUCCAGAGAUGGAUUUGGUCCUUUCGGGACUUCUGAGACAGGGUGCUUCCAUGGCUGUCGUCAGCUCGGGUUGUGAAAUGUUGGGUUAAGUCCCGCAACGAGCGCAACCCUUAUCCUUUGUUGCCAGCGGUUCGGCCGGGAACUCAAAGGAGACUGCCAGUGAUAAACUGGAGGAAGGUGGGGAUGACGUCAAGUCAUCAUGGCCCUUACGAGUAGGGCUACACACGUGCUACAAUGGCGCAUACAAAGAGAAGCGACCUCGCGAGAGCAAGCGGACCUCAUAAAGUGCGUCGUAGUCCGGAUUGGAGUCUGCAACUCGACUCCAUGAAGUCGGAAUCGCUAGUAAUCGUAGAUCAGAAUGCUACGGUGAAUACGUUCCCGGGCCUUGUACACACCGCCCGUCACACCAUGGGAGUGGGUUGCAAAAGAAGUAGGUAGCUUAACCUUCGGGAGGGCGCUACCACUUUGGAUGCAGCG
rnacentral:rRNA from 1 species